UACGGAGGGUGCAAGCGUUAUCCGGAUUCACUGGGUUUAAAGGGUGCGUAGGUGGGUCUGUAAGUCAGUGGUGAAUCUCCGAGCUUAACUUGGAAACUGCCAUGGAUACUAUAGGUCUUGAAUACUGUGGAGGUUAGCGGAAUAUGUCAUGUAGCGGUGAAAUGCUUAGAUAUGACAUAGAACACCAAUUGCGAAGGCAGCUGGCUACACAAAUAUUGACACUGAGGCACGAAAGCGUGGGGGAGUCAAACAGGG
rnacentral:rRNA from 1 species